rnacentral:tmRNA from 1 species
GGGGAUAUUCCGGUUUUGACAGCAGGUCGAACAGGUACGUAAGCAUGUCGGACACGAACACCGUCCGCUAACAGGGUUCAAUCCAAAAUUAACUGGCAACUACGAAGUAGCUCUCGCAGCUUGAUCGAAGUAUAGUAGAUCGCUUUAUCGGGGUACAAGGUAUCCCGUCGGGACGUCUCUCCAAGCCCUUGUCUUGAGGCUGAAGGAUUCAGAGGCGCAGCAAUAUCAGGACUGGCUGGCGCAGGCCGCGAUGCGUUGGUGAGAUUUUAGCGGAUAAGGCGGUAGCCGGCAGUCCGGGCCAACGUUGCCGCACGAAAAUCGAAGCCGGAAUAAGCAUGUAGAAAGCGUAUUGGUUCCUUGUUUGGACGCGGGUUCGACUCCCGCUAUCUCCACUG